GAGGAGAAUUGCUUGAACCCAGGAGGCGGAGGUUGCAGUGAACUGAGAUCACACCACUGCACUCUAGCCUGGGUGAGAGACAGGGACACUGUAUCAACAACAACAACAAAAAACAUUUUUUUUCUCUAAUGGAGUCAGACCAUUUAAACCAUCUGUUGUGCUAAUGACAAUCUAUCAUUCUAAGAUUAGUUAAUCCUUGUACUAUAUUCUCUAUGUAAUGAGAACAUUUCUCUUUCCUAUUUUUAUAUUUAUUUAUUUCUUCGAGAUAUAGUCUCACUUUGUCACCCAGCCUGGAGUGCAGUAGCAUGAUCGUGGCUCAUUGAAACUUCAAAAUCCUGGGCUCAAGCGAUCCUCUUGUCUCAGUCUCCUGAGUACCUGGGACAAUAGGUAUGAGCCACCCCACCCCUAUUUUACGCUUUAAAAAAAAAAAAAAAAACCUUAUAACUCUUGUUUUCACCAAAAGUGUUGAUAGAAAAGAAGUGACACAAUAUUAUAUCAGAAAAUUUCAACACAAUCUCUUUUUUCUAUCUUAUGGCUAUUAAAUUACCUGUUCUUUGUGUUUGUUUGGUUUUAUUGCAUAAAUAUUAUUAACACUAAGCAUUCAGAAAAAGCAACACAUUUUCUUUCUGCCAAUUUUAAUGAAGGAUUUUGAUGGCUGGAGAAAUAUCAAACAGGUGAAGAAGCUUAUGAACACCAUCAGAAAGUACUGAGCUGAUCAAACCCAAGACGUUUACAGUGGUUGCUAUGGACCCCUUUAGCAGUUGGGAAAGCUCCAACCCCAUUUCAGGAUAAUGUUUUUCAUGACGUAAAAUGCAUAGGAAGGAAACCAGUUCUAUUAAAAAAAAAGUACAUAGAAAUACGUGGCCGGGCGUGGUGGCUCAUGCCUGUUAUCCCAGCACUUUGGGAAGCCGAGGCAGGUGAACCAUUUGAGGUCAGGAGUUUGAGACCAGCCUGGCCAACAUGGUGAAACCCCAUUUCUACUAAAAAUACAAAAAAAAAAAAAAAUUAGCCCCGGGCAGUAGUGGCGUGUGCCUGUAACCCCAGCUGCUUGGGAGACUGAGGCAGGAUCGCUUGAGGUUCGCUUGAGGCAGAGGUUACAGUUAGCGGAGAUCGCGCCGCUGCACUCCAGUCUGGGCGACAGAGUGAGACCCUCUCUUAAAAAAAAAAAAAAAAAAGCCCAAAUAGAAAUAUGUGAAGUAAGAGGAAGAAAGUGAAUGUUUAUGAGGUUCCACUAGGCACCAGAACCACGUUAUGAUUUAAUCUUCACAAUAUCCUAUUGUAGAAGGAAGCGUUACUAUCAUUAUUAUUGUCAUCCUCUUUCUGUAUAUGAGGAAACUAAAAAUCAGAUAGGUGAUGUGACUUAUUGAAAGUCACACACUGAUAGGGUUUGGCUGUGUGUCCCUGCCCAAAUCUCUUCUUGAAUUGUAGUUCCUGCAAUUCCCACGUGUUGUGGGAGGGAUCUGGUGGGAGGUAAUUGAAUCCUGUGGGCAGUUUCCCCCUUACUGUUCUCGUGGUUGUGAAUAAAUCUCACGAGAUCUGAAGGUUUUAUAAGGGGUUUCCCCUUUCACUUGUCUCUUAUUCUCUUUUUGCCCGCUGCCAUGUAAGAUGCCCUUUUGCUCUUCCUUCAUCUUCCACCGUGAUUGUGAGGCCUCCGCAGCCAUGUGGAACUGUUAGUCCAUUAAACCUCUUUCCCUUAUAAAUUACCCAGUCUCAGGUGUGUCUUUAUUAGCAGCUUGAGAACAGACUAAUACACACACCUAGUAGGUGAUGGAUGGGAUUCAAGUCUGGGGCUACCUGACUCUAAAGGCCAGGAAAAAGAGAGAGAAAUUAAAGAAGAAUUGGUGAAAAUAGUGGCAGAUUAAUAAUGAUGAUAAUGAUGGUGGUGGUGGUGAGGAUGAUGAUAAUGAUGGCAGCUAAAGCUUAUAUAGGCACUGUGUUAAGAGCUUUCCAUGUUAACUCCUUUAAUUCUCUCAACAACACUGAGGCAGAUAAUCUUAUCUCCAUUUUACAGAUAAAGAAAUUGAAGCACAGAGAGGUUAAGUAACUUUCCUAAGACCACACAGCUCAUCAGUGACAAUUCAAAGUCAAGCAUGACUAUGCUCUACUGCCUCUUGGACUAACAUUAACAGUGGGCCAGACACUGUGGCUCACGCCUGUAAUCCCAGCACUUUGGGAGACCAAGGCAAGUGGAUCACAUGAGGUCAGGAGUUCGAGACCAGCAUGGCCAAUAUGGUGAAACCCCGUCUUUACUAAAAAUACAAAAAUUAUCCAGGCAUUGUGGCACACGUCUGUAAUCCCAGCUACUCUGGAGGCUGGGGCAGAAGAAUCGCUUGAACCCGGGAGACAGAGGUUGCAGUGAACCAAGAUCAUGCCACUGCACUCUAGCCUGGGCCACAGAGCAAGACUCUGUCUCAAAAAAAAAAAAAAAAUUAACAAUGACCUAAAAUUAACUUAUUAUUUACUUGUUUACUUAAGUAUUGUCUGCCUUCUCCACUAGAAUAAAAUUCCACUCUAGAAAGUUCUUUGUCUUCUUGAGGGCUAUAUUCCAGGAGCCCAUUGCAUUGCCAUGCCUCACACCUGUAAUCCCAGUACUUUGGGAGGCCGAGGUAGGUGGAUCACUUGAGAUCAGGAGUUCAGGACCAGCCUGGUCAACAUGGCGAAACUCUGUCUCUAUUAAAAAUACAAAAAUUAUCUGCGUGUGGUAGCGUGCAUCCAUAGUCCCAACUACUUGGGAGGCUGGGGCAAAAGAAUUGCUUGAACCUGGGAGACAGAGGUGUCAGUGAGCCCAGAUCAUGUCAUUGCACUCCAGCCUGGGUGACAGAGCAAGACUCUAUCUCAACAAAAGCAAAAAAAAAAACCAAAAAGCUUUAUUCAAAUAUAAUAUUACUAGACCAAUGGCAAUAUUUUCCCAAAAAGGCAGAUGAGGUAAUUCAAAUUUACAAGUCAGAGACUUAGAAUUGUAUACACCCGUUUCCUGUAACGUGUGAAUUUUUCAAUUAAAUUAAGGUAAAAUGAAAAUGUUGUUUCUUUUGUUUUCUUGUUCCAGCUGUUACAAUGUGAAUAUUUUGAAGGAAUCAAUAAAGGAAUAAGAGCUGAGAAAAGGAUUAGAGAGACAACACGGCCCAGGGAGCAGCACAGGAUGCACCAAGGAACUUUUGCCGGCAGAGCUAACCUGUGAAUGUGACCUUAUUUGCACAUGGAGUCUUUGCAGAUGUAAUCAUGCUAAGAUGGGGUCUCCCUGGAUUAGAGUGGACCCUACAUCCAGUGACUGGUUUCCUAUGAGAAGAAAAUUUGGGCACAGAGACAUAGGAGAAAGAAGACCCCGUGAGGACAGAGGCAGAAGUUGGAGCACUACAGCUACAAGCCAAGUGUCUCCGUCCAUUUGUGUUGCUGUAAGGGAACACCUGAGGCUGGGUAAUUUAUAAAGGAAACAAGUUUAUUCGGCUCACAAUUCUGCAGGCUGUGUAGGAGGCAUGGCACCAACACCUGCUUCUAAUGAGGGCCUCAGGAAGCUUCCGCUCAUGGUGGAAGGUGAAGGGGAGCUGAAUUGUGUGAAGAUCACAUGGCAAGAGAGAAAGAAAGAGACAGAGGAAGGAGGUUCCAGGCUUUUUUGAACAACCACCUCUCGCAGGAACUGAUUGAGCAAGAACCCAGUCAUUACUGCAAGGACAGCACCAAGGCAUUCAUGAGGGGAUCCAUCCCCAUGACCGAUGGUCAUGGGUAUUUAGAAAUCAGGGUUGCUUUAGAAGCCUUCCAUUCUGCCCUACCUCCAACACUGGGGAUCAGAUUUUCACGUGAGAUUCGGAGGAGACACACAAACCAAACUAUAGCAUGAAGGAAUGCCAAGGAUUGCCAGUGACCUAAAGCUGUGAGAGAGGCAUCAAACAGGUCCUACCUCAAGGUUUUCAGAAGGAGCUUGGCCAUGCCAACAUCUGCAUUUCAGACUCUGGCCUCCAGAACUGGGAGAGAAGAAAUCUUCAUUGUUUUAAGUGAUCCAGUUUGUGGUCAUUUGUUAUGGAAGCCCUCAGAAAAUAAUAUAGCUACUUAGUGCUGUAUCACAUGAAUCUAUUAAACAUAUUUAACCAAUUCCC
rnacentral:lncRNA from 10 species